GAUGAACGCUGGCGGCGUGCCUAAUACAUGCAAGUCGAGCGAACAGAUGAGGAGCUUGCUCCUCUGACGUUAGCGGCGGACGGGUGAGUAACACGUGGAUAACCUACCUAUAAGACUGGGAUAACUUCGGGAAACCGGAGCUAAUACCGGAUAAUAUAUUGAACCGCAUGGUUCAAUAGUGAAAGACGGUUUUGCUGUCACUUAUAGAUGGAUCCGCGCCGCAUUAGCUAGUUGGUAAGGUAACGGCUUACCAAGGCGACGAUGCGUAGCCGACCUGAGAGGGUGAUCGGCCACACUGGAACUGAGACACGGUCCAGACUCCUACGGGAGGAAGCAGUAGGGAAUCUUCCGCAAAGGGCGAAAGCCUGACGGAGCAACGCCGCGUGAGUGAUGAAGGUCUUCGGAUCGUAAAACUCUGUUAUUAGGGAAGAACAAAUGUGUAAGUAACUAUGCACGUCUUGACGGUACCUAAUCAGAAAGCCACGGCUAACUACGUG
rnacentral:rRNA from 1 species